UACAGAGGUCUCAAGCGUUGUUCGGAUUCAUUGGGCGUAAAGGGUGCGUAGGCGGCGCGGUAAGUCGGGUGUGAAAUCUCGGAGCUUAACUCCGAAACUGCAUUCGAUACUGCCGUGCUUGAGGACUGGAGAGGAGACUGGAAUUUACGGUGUAGCGGUGAAAUGCGCAGAUAUCAGGAGGAACACCGGUGGCGAAGGCGGGUCUCUGGGCAACAACGUGACGCUGGAGGAGCGAAAGCGUGGGGAGCGAACAGGA
rnacentral:rRNA from 1 species